rnacentral:rRNA from 1 species
UACGGAGGGUGCAAGCGUUGUCCGGAAUUACUGGGCGUAAAGCGUGCGCAGGCGGUGAUGUAAGACAGGUGUGAAAUCCCCGGGCUUAACCUGGGAACUGCAUUUGUGACUGCACAGCUAGAGUACGGCAGAGGGGGAUGGAAUUCCGCGUGUAGCAGUGAAAUGCGUAGAUAUGCGGAGGAACACCGAUGGCGAAGGCAGUCCCCUGGGCCUGUACUGACGCUCAUGCACGAAAGCGUGGGGAGCAAACAGG